UUCAAUUUAGUAUUUUUUUGUUCUUUGUUGGCAUAUGUCUUCCUAGAGUUCCACUGUUUGUAUCCCUUUGCUUGUUGGAUUAAGAUUUUAAAUCGACGUGUUCUCCUGCAUCUCCUUGUUCCUCCCAGAGUGAUCGUGACCGAUGCAUUCUCUUGACCAAAUCAGACAGCAAUUUAUGUAUACAGUGAGGAAAAGGCGUCUGAUUUGGUUCCACUUUAUAUUAUGUGGCCUUAACUACUUGCUUCAGAGUACAAUCCUUACUGUGUUCAUAUUGUGUUGCAAAACACUCUUGUUGCUAUGAGGUGGGAUACAGGUAAGCUUAGGGACAGGUUUGGUGUAGGGCUGUGCAUAUCCAUGACUGAUACGAUACCCAUCUUGAUGCAUAGCCUACGCGACGCACCAAGCGAAUUGGUUAAUCUUCCCGUCCCAAUUUUGGUGGUAUGGGUGGGUUAAGGUGUAAGGGAUGGGUCAACAGUGUAAUUAUAAAUGUAAGUGGACUUGUAUUUUAAAAAAUACCUUGUAUUUACAAAGUACCAAAUUAUUAAUUCAAAUGUAAAUGCAUAGUAGUUAAAGUGGAACACAAUUUUCACUUAUUACAAUUCUCAGAAAUUGCUAGUAAAGUUCAAAGAAAUGGCAAGUAAUGUGUUGAAUUAAACAUGACUUUUUUUUUUUUUUUUUUUUUGUAAUCUUUAUUUACAACUUUGAAUUUUUACAGUGUACUUUGGAGAAAGCAAUCCUAAAAUGUAUUUUGUGGAAAAGUCUAUGUAAAUAUGAGAAGCUCAGCAUAAUAAUUCAAGAUGGUGGACAAAGCAAGAGGAAUUUUUUUUAUAUAUAUAUAUAUAUAUAUAUUUUAUUAAGAUUCAAUUAAACAGUUGUUACUUUAUUCCAGUUUUUGAUUUUAAGAUAUUUCAAUUUUUUUAAAGUAUAUUAUGCUGUAUAAUAAUAAUGGCAUUAUUUUCAUGAAUAGUUAUUUGAUGAACAGUAAAUUCAGAAGAACAGCAUUUAUUUGAAAUAUAAAUCUUUGGUAACAAAGUAUCUUUAAUGUCACUUGUGAUCAAUGUAAUGCAAUGUAUUUUUCUGCUUAGUCAAGUAUUAUUUACUUUUUACAUGCAAUAAUAAUUGAUUGUGAGUAAAGCCUCAC
ensembl:lncRNA